rnacentral:rRNA from 1 species
AAUUUGAAAUCUGGCCCCUUCGGGGUCCGAGUUGUAAUUUGUAGAGAGUGCUUCGGGGGAGACCGCGGUCUAAGUCCAUUGGAACAUGGCGUCCCAGAGGGUGAGAAUCCCGUAUGUGACCGCGGCUCGAGCCCAUGUGAAGCCUCUUCGACGAGUCGAGUUGUUUGGGAAUGCAGCUCUAAAUGGGUGGUAAAUUUCAUCUAAAGCUAAAUACUGGCUGGAGACCGAUAGCGCACAAGUAGAGUGAUCGAAAGAUGAAAAGCACUUUGGAAAGAGAGUUAAACAGUACGUGAAAUUGUUGAAAGGGAAGCGCUUGCAACCAGACCUGCCCGUAGGCGAUCAACCGCUGUUCUCAGCGGUGCACUCGUUCUGCGAUCAGGCCAGCAUCGGUUCGGGCGGUUGGAUAAAGGCCUUGGGAAUGUAGCUUCCCUUCGGGGGAGUCUUAUAGCCCUCGGUGCAAUGCGGCCAGCCGGGACCGAGGACCGCGCUUCGGCUAGGAUGCUGGCGUAAUGGCUGUAAGCGACCC